rnacentral:rRNA from 12 species
CUUUGUGGCGACACCGGAGUGCGAGUGCCCAAUAGUGUCCGCUUUUGGAAGCUAAGCAGGGUUGUGCCUGGUUAGUACUUGGAUGGGAGACCAGCUUCAAAGACCAGGGGCUGCUAUCC